CUUCCUCUUGAAAGUUAACAGAAGUAAAAUACAUCCUAAUUAAACUUAAACACACAUAUCCUAAAACAAACUGACUCUACAAAAACAAACACCCCAUCCUGGAUUUUCCACAAAUUGACAACCGGAUUUGGAAAGACUCCCAGAAGCAAUACACGAAGUCCUUCCUCUCAUUUCACUCAUGCUGAUGAAAAAGACCUCAUGGAAUAAAUGUCGCAGUAUUGGGAAGGACAGAGACAACUUCCAUGAAAGCUGAUAGAGAGCCUUAAGACCACUCAUUAAGUUCUAAGUUAGCUCCUGUGCACAAUCCGUGCUUAUCUAGCUCAAUUUGUGUUAGCUAUUCUAGAUAGUUCUAAGAUGCUUUGACAUCUCAGUGCUUAUGAGAAGCUGUCUCUUUGUCAAAUCCCCUAAUCAAGGAUCCAGGGAGAGAAACCAGAUCUCAGAUUUGAAUGAAUAGAACCCUGCACCACCAAAAAAAUGUGACAAUACAAAAAACGUAGGAGGAUUAACUAUAACAGAGGACUGUUUCAUUUAGACAUUUAUGUCUGUGUUGGCAAAGCAAAUAAUUAAAGACCAAUAAGUAAC